ACCAAUACCAAAGCAGUGACUUCUCAGCUAGAAGCGCAGCUUAAAGAUAUGAGGACACAGCUUGUUCAGAAAGAGAAGUAGAUCCUGAGAUGCAUUAAGACUAUUGAGGAAAACCAACUGGCAGACAUUGCCAAAGCAAGGAAGAAAAUGGAGCAGAAGAGAGACCAGGCUGAGCAGAAUCUUCAGGCUCUCCAGAAGAUAAAAGAGCAACCAGAUAUUUUCCUCUUCCUCAAAGAACUGAAACUGGUCACAGACAGGAUUGCAAGUCUGGACCUGGACACUGAGAGGGUGGACGUGGAGGAAGUGCAGCUGGAUCAGAGCAUGAUUACCCAGUGCCAGACCCUGAGAGAGAAGUUAAUGUUGCAGCUGGACUCUCUGCUGCAGGACGUGUGCGUUAAACUCGCCAACCAAAUGGAGCUGCGCAGUCAGACUUCAGCUACUACUGGUACCUCUUCAGCUACUAAUACCGGAUUACCUGAAAAUGAUCCGUUGGAAUUGCUCCGCCAGACCAUAAGGAAACAGCAGCACCUGCUCAGUCAGAAGCGCAAAAAGACUUGUGGCUACAGCUCUGUUCUGUCACUCGUGAUAAUCAACACGUACCUGGCUUCAGGGAUUGAAAAUAAACUCAGAAAUCCAUCUCAGAUUUAGAGUAACAGCUCUCCUCCUGGUUUCAAUGGACUCUCCAAGCCGUGCUGUGUGCUCAGCCCUGGCUCUGCUGCACCCAUCAGUUGUCAGCCUAACAGAAAGAGCGUGGCCAAAUUUUGGGAGCUCAGUGGUUGCUCCAGAGGACCUUGCAAAUAUUCCUUCCUCCUCGAAGGCAGCAAGGCACAAAGGGCAGCUGCUCUCAGCCCCUCAGAUGAGGCAAAAGAAAUGAGCCUGUCCUUCAGCACUUUCCUGACCUGGGCUUCUCUCUGGCUGCCAGCUGAAGGAGCUGGGAGCAGCCAGUGCAGGUCAGUGCUGCUGCUGCUGCAGAGUUCCUGCAGUGCUGCAAAUCCCUGCAGACAGCAAUCCUCACUCAAACGUGGGAUUUGUAAUCCUGCUGCAGCCUCACAAAGCUUUUGGAUGAAAAUGGGUGUCUAGGAAGGUGGGAUUUCUGAGUUAGGUGUUAUGCUGGUGGUGCAGUUUAAUUCCCCCAUACAUUUGCUUGUUUGCAAAGAGACUGCUGGGAAUCUGAGACUUGUUUUAAUGUUCUGUGCCUUAGCCUUGAGGAAGCAAAGAGCUGAAAGACUGGAUGAAAGCAGCGUAAGGAAACAAGCAGAGUCCAGCAAUUAUUUAACUAAGCCUUCUAAUAGACAUCAGCACUCUGAAAAUUUUACCACCUAAUUACUUUUUGACUCUAGGUGACAAUGUUGGACCGUGACACACACUGAGAGAGCAGCAGUUCUGCACAGAUGUUUGUGGAGAACACUCUUUCUUGAUAGCAAUGUAAUUGUGACAUGCACAGUCCUGAGAGAUGGACAGAGCUUAUUUCUUUUUGGUAUCUUUAUGGCUUAAUUAUUUUGAUUAUAUACGAACUCUGCUUCAUUGCAUCUUUCCUUUUCUAAUUACACCCUCUCCCCUCCAACCACUCAAUUUUUACUUGGCAUUUGUCUCAUCCUUGAUGGAAGCCUUUAGAGUAAAGCAGCUCAUUUUAACUUUUUUUGGUUUUGCCAAGCACUGAAUGAUGUUACUGGGUUCAGUUAAAUGCAUUUCAAGCAUUAGGAUGGGCCUCUUUCUGUUACUUAGUCUGAUGGGGUUUCUAAGUAAGUCAGACCUGCCACACGUAGACCUCUGUGUGUGUGUGACAUUAAUUAGGGCCUUCCAAGCCCAGCAGGUCAGGGUGAGGAGGAAGGUUUGGCCCAGCUCUGAUAGAACUCACAGAUGGGAACCAGGCAGUUCCAUCUUCUCCAUCUCCAAACUUAAUGGAAGGCCUGAAUCUCAGUGCACUACCCGUUGUAGAGGGAGGGAAGGGCAAGGAGAGAAAAUAAUUCAUUUUUAGCCACUUUCAGCAUAACCCAGCCAUCCUCCCACGGAGCUGUACCAGCUGGAGCAGGGCACGGGGCAGGGAGGUGCCCAGGGAGGGUGGGACUGAGGGCAGGAGGCUCCUUACACAAGGCUGGGAGCCAGAUGGCACAAAGCUGAGAGCCAGGGGAAAUCACAGGCUGACUUUAUCUGCUGAGUGAUAACACAGAGCUGGGAACCUGGGAAAGACUGGGAAGAGCCAGGGAGAGCCACUGCCUGUGGGGUUCAUGGACAGAGGGCUGAUAACACCAUCACAGCCCACAGAGCAAUGUGCCAGGUGGCAGCAGGGCACGGCGAGGCAGGACAGGAGCUGCUGGGCAAAAGGCAAGGAGGGAGGGCUCCCAGGGCUGCCCAGGAGUACCUGCUCGGUGGAACAAAGCAUUUUCCAGGAUUAUUUUGCAGUCUGACAAACUGGUCUGUGGAGAUUUGAUAUUCCAGAGAUGAUGUGGUGAUCUGGAGAAGCAGCAGGUUUGCCAGGCAGGCUCAGUGGGAUGGGCAGAUGGCACACACUGGCACUUGUGUGUCAGCAAACCCCAGCUCCUUGGCAGGAGAUUCUGGAGCAUGAGGAGCCCAGAGGCACAUUUCUCCCAGGCCAAAGGUUGCCUCAUCACAGAGAUAUAUCAACCAUAAAGCUUAAUAUACCUCGAGAAGAGGAAAGCAGUUGGAAGUGAAAUGAUUUAAUUAUCUUAAAUAAUUGCUUGGAUUUUUUCCACCCAUUUUUUAGAAAACCAGUCUAAAAAUAAGAAGAAAAAAAGCCUAGUUUUUUUAGGUCCAGAAAAAAAAAAUGCUUGGGAUUUUUUUCUUUUAAUAUCAUGUUCCAAGAAGAUACUAUUUCCCUGUUUCUUCCAUAAAGACAUGAUGUAUUGGAUGAUCCGAGUUUUCCACAGCCUGUGCUUCUAGAACAAGAAUGAAAAUGCUGGAGCACCUGUUGCUUGGGUUUGUGAUUUCUUAUUAGGAUUCUGUAGAGUCCCCCCACAAAAGGCUUUGAAUGCUUUUGUCAUAGAUGUCACUCCUCCCCAGGAUUUGCUCUGGUUGUCUUGGAGGCACCAUAUACUUCAAACUCAAUUAAAACUCCUGUGGAAGUCCCUAAAGGGAUUGGGAAGUCACACUCACUGAUGCUUUUAACAAUGGACAGUCAGGGGAGAGGGAGGGAGCUCUUCUAUUUGCUUUGCAAUUGCCUGUUUUGUUACCAUGACAUCUAAUAAACCCUCAUGGAGAAGGGAAAUAUUCAAUAUUUCUACAGUAAGAUUUACAGCAUUUGCUUAACACUGAAAGACAAGAGCAUGAAUUCUGCAGGAUGGAAGUUGGCUUUGUUUGCUCCGGCUGUGUAUUAAUGGGGUUUUUUGACAGCUCAAGGUUCCACCUGGAAUGCAAAUAUUGGGCAAUGUUUGACUUCAGAUGGAAUGUCUGCUUUUCUGUGCAAGCGGGGAAGGGAAGGCAGACGAGGCUGGGCAUGGCCCCUCCGGCCUUGAACCUCCAGCCCAGAGACAAGAGCAGAGCACUGAACAGAAACCUGGGAUUCUUAAUCCACGUUGUCAAAGAUCCUUCAUCCUUCCCAGCUGGAAGUACCGCCCAGACAGACCCGGACCCUGGAGCAAAGAACACUGAGGGACUUUCAAGGACUUUUAAUGAAUCUCAGUGGUACCCCAGAGCAAAAAAGGGCCAGAAAUUGUUACGGUUCCCCACCUGCACAAAGUUUAAUCUCACUUCACCGCAGAUUAUCAACCCUAUACUUUCAAUUUAAAAGGGUUCAGUGCCAAGUAAAGGACCAGGAGCGGUCCCGCGGAAUCAUUCGGAAGUGACCCGGCACGGGGGCUGGAAGGGGCGCGGCUCUGCCCGGCCCUCCCUGCCCGGAGCGGGGCGGUGCUGCCGGUGCCCGCUGCGGGCAGGCGGUCCCUCCGUCCAUCCGUCUGUCCGUCUGUCUGUCUGUCUGUCCGUCGGUCGGUCCCAGCUGCCCCAGGUGCCCGGGGAGCCGCGGGCG
rnacentral:lncRNA from 13 species